rnacentral:rRNA from 1 species
CUGGGUUUGACAUGCACAGGACGCUGGUAGAGAUAUCAGUUCCCUUGUGGCCUGUGUGCAGGUGGUGCAUGGCUGUCGUCAGCUCGUGUCGUGAGAUGUUGGGUUAAGUCCCGCAACGAGCGCAACCCUUGUCCUAUGUUGCCAGCGGGUUAUGCCGGGGACUCGUAGGAGACUGCCGGGGUCAACUCGGAGGAAGGUGGGGAUGACGUCAAGUCAUCAUGCCCCUUAUGUCCAGGGCUUCACACAUGCUACAAUGGCCGGUACAAAGGGCUGCGAUGCCGUGAGGUGGAGCGAAUCCUUGUAAAGCCGGUCUCAGUUCGGAUCGGGGUCUGCAACUCGACCCCGUGAAGUCGGAGUCGCUAGUAAUCGCAGAUCAGCAACGCUGCGGUGAACACGUUCCC